rnacentral:lncRNA from 1 species
CACUUUUCAAUUUUAUCAAUUAGAUUAUUAAACUAUCAAUUUUUUUCAAUUACACAAAUUAAACACGCCACGUCAACAAUUGCUGACGUGACUAAUUUAAGUGGGAUCGUAACAAACUUACAUGGCAAAAAAAACAAUUUUUAAUCAUAAAAUAAAUAAGUCUGAUUUAAUAGGAACAAAAUGGUCAAAACAAAAAAUAACAUAAUUAAUUAAAAUAAAACAAAUCCUUAUAUUUUAUCCUAUCCUUAAUUAAUUAAAAUAGGAUUUGUUAAUUAAAAUAAAACAAAUCCUAGAUCCAGAUCCAGAUCAACUCUCCUCCCAUCCUUUCCAGUUCCCCCACCACUCUCCGCCGCCACCACCAUCGAUCACCACCUCCACCUAAACCACCAACACCCUCCAUUUCAGCUUGACAAGUCUAGCCUCUCCGCUGCUUUGACCGACGACGACCACCCUCUCGUUCGUCGAAAAUCUCAUACUCAGCUCCAUCGCCCUCACGUCCUCCCUGUCUCCGCCGUCCACCGCCGUCAAACCACCAUUACCUCCAACCCCAACACAACAUACCACUUCUACACUUGACCCAAAACAACUAACAGCCCUCCAAAAAAGAUAAGAUCAAUCCGUAUGUUUGUUUGGCUGGAACCAGAGACCGUUGGGUUUUGUGAGAAAUCAAAUUUUUUUGAUUGAAGUUGCACAGAUCCAGUGAAUAGCUUUGAUCGAAGUUGCACAGAUCCGUAUGGUAGGCGACGACAACGCCUCUCCUCAUCGGCGACGGCAACUCCUCUCCUCGACACCGCCGAUUCCAAGCUCGGCUAUUCGAUAGAUCUGAGAUCUGAGAUCUAGACAGAAGGCUUCUUGAGACAUCGCUUUCAUACUCCACUCUCUAGUUCACUGGUUGAUCCUUCCGCUUCUGUAACAGAGGCUAAAAGGUGUGAACGAAGAAAGCUUUUUCUCCAGAAUGGGAGCGAUGGACUGGAGGGAGGCCGGGACCACCUCGUUGUCGGCAACACGGUUGAGUUCCAGGGCGAGAACUAUGAUGUAUACGAGAACUUCCAGGGCGACAUGUAGAGAAGGUCGGAGUUGGAAGGGGCGUCCAUGGCCGGCGAGCAUCAGGGAGAAUGAUCUGAGAUGUAUAUGAUUUUUAAAUCUGAGAUGUAUAAAUUUUGGUUGCAGAUUUUAGAUCUUUAAUAUUUUGGUAGGAGUUUUUGAUGAUCUGAGAUGUACAUGACCUGUUUUGUUGUUUUUAUUUAAUUUAAAUGAUUAAUAUAAGUGAUUUGACGAAUAUGCCCUUAAUGUAUAAUAAAAAUGUAAAUAGAUAUUAAAAUAUUUUUUUUUAUUUACACAUCAGCUGCCUAAUGACCCACUCAGAUAGUCACGUCAGCAAUUGUUGACGUGGCGUGUUUAAUUUGUAUAAUUAGAAAAAAUUGAUAGUUUAAUAACUUAAUUGACAAAAUUGAAAGAUGG